AAGAAAGAAGAAAAUAUGCAACUGCCCAUAGUGUGCGUUGUAGCAAAGGAGAUCAAAUGGUUGUACCAUCCCCUUGUUACAAACCUCACUUUGGUUCUUUGCACAAUCCAACAACAACAUU
rnacentral:pre_miRNA from 12 species